GACGAACGCUGGCGGCGUGCUUAACACAUGCAAGUCGAACGGAAAGGCCCUGCUUUUGUGGGGUGCUCGAGUGGCGAACGGGUGAGUAACACGUGAGUAACCUGCCCUUGACUUUGGGAUAACUUCAGGAAACUGGGGCUAAUACCGGAUAGGAGCUCCUGCGGCAUGGUGGGGGUUGGAAAGUUUCGGCGGUUGGGGAUGGACUCGCGGCUUAUCAGCUUGUUGGUGGGGUAGUGGCUUACCAAGGCUUUGACGGGUAGCCGGCCUGAGAGGGUGACCGGCCACAUUGGGACUGAGAUACGGCCCAGACUGCUACGGGAGGCAGCGGUGGGAAAUAUUGCACAAUGGGCGGAAGCCUGAUGCAGCAACGCCGCGUGCGGGAUGACGGCCUUCGGGUUGUAAACCGCUUUCGCCUGUGACGAAGCGUGAGUGACGGUAAUGGGUAAAGAAGCACCGGCUAACUACGUG
rnacentral:rRNA from 1 species